CAGACGUCCUCGGCUCUUUGAAGGCUGCGACAAGUUGCUGCAAUUUGGCUUUGAGGACUUGGCGCUGCAGGCUUGGCGCUCGGUGUCUGCUGUCAAGGAUGAGAGCUACAGGCAUAUGCACUGUGAAUCCAGGCACAACAGAUUUGUGUUAGUUCAAGAGACAGCAAGACAGAUCCACGUAUGUGUCUGCCAGCGUGUCAGGGUACAGGUCCUGACCAGAUUGUCACUGAUGAAGAUGGAAACAGAACACAUAAGGAGCUGAAGAAUUCUCUGUCUUGGAAAAUGCAUGGCCAGAAGAAGCUGGUGGACUCAUCCUUCUCCAGGCUGUGUGAUGAGAAUAAUUAUCUGAAUUUCUUUUUGAAGAAUUUUCCUUCUGGUCCAAGACAAGAUGGAAUUUGGUAG
rnacentral:lncRNA from 1 species